GUGGGGAAUAUUGGACAAUGGGCGCAAGCCUGAUCCAGCCAUGCCGCGUGUGUGAAGAAGGCCUUCGGGUUGUAAAGCACUUUUGUCCGGGAAGAAAACCCUGGGGCUAAUACCCACGGGGAAUGACGGUACCGGAAGAAUAAGCACCGGCUAACUUCGUGCCAGCAGCCGCGGUAAUACGAAGGGUGCAAGCGUUACUCGGAAUUACUGGGCGUAAAGCGUGCGUAGGCGGUUUGUUAAGUCAGAUGUGAAAGCCCCGGGCUCAACCUGGGAACUGCAUUUGAUACUGGCGAGCUAGAGUACGGUAGAGGGUGGUGGAAUUCCCGGUGUAGCGGUGAAAUGCGUAGAGAUCGGGAGGAACAUCUGUGGCGAAGGCGGCCACCUGGACCAGUACUGACGCUGAGGCACGAAAGCGUGGGGAGCAAACAGGAUUAGAUACCCUGGUAGUCC
rnacentral:rRNA from 1 species